rnacentral:rRNA from 1 species
AGUGAACGCUGGCGGUAGGCCUAACACAUGCAAGUCGAACGGCAGCACAGUAAGAGCUUGCUCUUACGGGUGGCGAGUGGCGGACGGGUGAGGAAUACAUCGGAAUCUACUUUUUCGUGGGGGAUAAGGUGGGAAAACUACCCCUAUACCCCAAACGAACUUCGGGUGAAAGCAGGGGAACUUCGGACCUUGUGCGGAUGAAUGAGCCGAUGUCGGAUUAGCUAGUUGGCGGGGUAAAGGCCCACCAAGGCGACGAUCCGUAGCUGGUCUGAGAGGAUGAUCAGCCACACUGGAACUGAGACACGGUCCAGACUCCUACGGGAGGCAGCAGUGGGGAAUAUUGGACAAUGGGCGCAAGCCUGAUCCAGCCAUACCGCGUGGGUGAAGAAGGCCUUCGGGUUGUAAAGCCCUUUUGUUGGGAAAGAAAAGCAGCAGGUUAAUACCCCGCUGUUCUGACGGUACCCAAAGAAUAAGCACCGGCUAACUUCGUG